rnacentral:lncRNA from 1 species
CCUCCCUUUUUGGUGCCCUCCGCGGCGGGAGGGAUGUGCGGCGGGAUUUGGAGGGGUCGGGUGUGUGUGCGGUGCCCCUCAGGUGCCCGGCGCGGGACAUGGGGGCUUCCUGCAUCGGGGUCGCUGCGGGAACGCUCCGCCAACGACUCUCGGAGCGCAGGACCGACGUUGGGAGGGGCAGGACAGCAACGGCCCUGGCGGAGCGGGCCUGCACUGCCGGCAUGGUUGUGGAGUGGGAUAGAGCGAAGGUGCUGGGACCAAUCGUCAAGCCGGGGCGGGCCAUGGCACAGGAGACGGUGGAGGUUUUGACUGGAAAAGGGAGGCGCAAUCUUGUC